rnacentral:rRNA from 1 species
AUUGAACGCUGGCGGCAGGCCUAACACAUGCAAGUCGAGCGGAUGAAGGGAGCUUGCUCCUGGAUUCAGCGGCGGACGGGUGAGUAAUGCCUAGGAAUCUGCCUGGUAGUGGGGGAUAACGUCCGGAAACGGGCGCUAAUACCGCAUACGUCCUGAGGGAGAAAGUGGGGGAUCUUCGGACCUCACGCUAUCAGAUGAGCCUAGGUCGGAUUAGCUAGUUGGUGGGGUAAAGGCCUACCAAGGCGACGAUCCGUAACUGGUCUGAGAGGAUGAUCAGUCACACUGGAACUGAGACACGGUCCAGACUCCUACGGAAGGCAGCGGUGGGGAAUAUUGGACAAAGGGCGAAAGCCUGAUCCAGCCAUGCCGCGUGUGUGAAGAAGGUCUUCGGAUUGUAAAGCACUUUAAGUUGGGAGGAAGGGCAGUAAGUUAAUACCUUGCUGUUUUGACGUUACCAACAGAAUAAGCACCGGCUAACUUCGUG